UGCUUCCCAGGAAGCAAUAUUAAUUUUUAAAAAAGAAAGAAAGAAACAGGCCUGUUAUAAUUUGUUAAGCCUGCAGGGAGCAAGUUAGGAAUCAGCCCUGUAGGGAUACUGUUUUAAGUCUGGGUUGAGAUAGGUGCAUGAAGCAGAAAGAAGAGACGGUCAAGGAUUCAACCUUGAACCCCUACUAGAAAACAGAAGCAGCCACAGAAAUGGCUGGAGUUCUCUCCUUCACAUGUGUAUGUGACUCAGCUGCCACAAAUCCUUAAGGAGGAAAUGAGUCUUACACAUUUCCUACAGGUCUCACACCACCUUUCAGAGUGAGAUAACCUAGUGGAUGCUUUUCGUUCGAUCGAUCACUCACUAAUAGCUGCUAGUUACUAUACCAUGGAUCAAGGAUAUGGUUUAAAGAAGAUAGACAAAAUCUUGCCAUUUCAUCCUUGUGUGAGGGUUGUGUAUGUGUAAAAGGUAGAAAUAGGAAACAAGAUUAUAACCAAAUAAAUAGCUAAUGUAAUAUCUGUAGCAGUAAGUGCUACAAAGAAACGUAACCAAGUAAUAGGCCAGGAAGGUACUCCCAGGUGCGGCUGGGGGUGGGCGGUGUUUUGCUAAGUAUGGCCAAGGAUUCCUGUGGGAGGAAGUGACAUCGGAGAUAAAAUGUGUGGGCUGAGGAGCUACCAUCUGAGUUGCCGAGGAAAGCAUCCCAGAGAAAACAAGUGCCAAGAACCUGAAACAAGAACAAACUCAGAGUGGCUGAGGGGUAGGAAGAAGGCCAGUGCUGCUGGAGCCUAAAGCACAACGACAGGAAGAGGUCAGGAGAGCAAGACCAUCUGCAACCAGACUGUGGCCUCAGACUGCCAAUUUUGGACCCCUGUGUGGACCCACAGUUCCUGUGUGAAGGCUCCAGGAAUUCCUUCAGCAGAGGAAGUUUGACCUAAGAGGAACUGUGGCUCUCCCUUCAAUCUCAAAAUGUGUGCAUGUAUUUUUAAAAGCAUGUUCUUUAUUCUCCCUUUAAGUAAAUAGGUAUUUAAAAAACACAGAUGCGUGACUGCUUGUGACUCACAGUAAACAAUCCAGUGGCAACGCCCCUCAGCUUUGGAGCAAAAGCAGAAAAGCCCUUUGUCUCUCUCUCUCACCCCAGCCUUUUAUUAAUAAAUGGGG